rnacentral:rRNA from 3 species
GCUCCCGACGCGACCCCAGGUCAGGCGGGACUACCCGCUGAGUU